CACGGAAAGAAAAGCAAACAAGCAAAGAAGAAAAGAAACCAAAGCAAAGCGAGAAAGCCAUGAAGCCAUGCAAAAUGCAAUGCAAAGCUAUGAAAGGAAAACCAAAGAGCAAAGCAAAGCAACAGAAAAAACAAUAAGAAGAAAGAAAAGGGACUGAAAAGGAAAGGAAACUAACGAUAAGUCAUUCGAUAAGAAGAGAAAGGGGAAGGAAAAAAAGGAAUGCAAAGAAAUGAACUGGAAGGAAGAAAACCACAUUAAGGAAAUAAACAAUGGAAAGCAAAGCAAAACGAGCAGUACAGAAAUCUGAAUUAGAAUUAGAAGGCAGAGCAAAGCAAAGCAAGUAAGGGCAAGGCUAGAGGAAGGAGACAGGCAAGGGGACAAGGAUACGGGCAAGGAAAAGAAGGCAAAGAAGAAUGUAAUUACAAAACAAAAGGGAAACUGAAAGCAGAGCACAGAAAAACCAUUUGAAAAGAGAAGAAAAUACAGAGAUACUUUUAGAACGGAAAACAAUAAGCGAAAGGCGGCCCAAGGAAGAAAGGGAAAGCGAAAGGCAGCCGAAAGCACAGCAGGAACACACAGAGAACAGCACUGAGUUAAACAGUCAGAAAGAGAAAUGGAAGGAAAAGAUCAACAAAGUACAUCCAAAUUAAAAACCAACUGAAAAAGAGGAAACACGAAAGCAACGGGAAGAAGAGAGAAGAAGCAGAGCAGGAAAUAAAGCAAAGCAAAGAAAGCCAGAAAGCAACGCAAAGCAAUGUGAAGCAGAGGUGAAAAGGAAGAACAAAAGAGCAGAGCAAAGCAAAGCAAGGGCAAAUAAAGAAAGCCUCAAUUCUGGCAGCUCGACCCACCUGGCGCUUCAUUUGUUGCUCUUCAUCGGCCCGACUGCUGGGCACACGACAUCUGCACGGCACACCUUUACAGCCACCUUCCUUAUGGUUCAGCACACAGCUCAGCAGCCCAAAGAGGUUUACCCCUCCGCUGCCAGCUGUUUUCUUCCCACUGCUGGAACCACCCCCAGAAGGCAUUUG
ensembl:lncRNA